CCUGGUUUAUCCUGCCAGUAGUCAUAUUCUUGACAGAAAGAUUAAUCCAUGCAUGUGUAAGUAUGAACAAAUUCAGACUGUGAAACCGCGAAUGGCUCAUUAAAUCAGUUAUAGUUUAUUUGAUGCUAUAUACUACUCGAAUAACCAUAGUGAUUAUAGUACUAAUACGUGCAACAAACACUGACUUCUGGAAGGGAUUCAUUUAUUAGAUAAAAGUUCAAUGCGGGCUCUACUCGUUGCUGUGAUGAUUCAUGAUAACUCGAUGGAUCGCACGACCAUCGUACCGGUGAUAAAUCAUUCAUAUUUCUACCAUAUCAAGUUUCUAUGGUAGGAUAGUGGUAUACCAUGGUAGUGAUGGAUGAUGGAGAAUUAGGGUUCGAUUCCAAAGAGGGAGACUGAGAAACGGCUACCACAUCCAAGGAAGGCAGCAGGCACGCAAAUUACCCAAUCCUGACAUGGGGACGUAGUGACAAUAAAUAACAAUACCGGGCUCAAUAAGUAUGGUAAUUGGAAUGAGUACAAUCUAAAUCCCUUGAUGAGGAUCCAUUGGAGGGCAAGUUUUGUGCUAGAAGCCGCGGUAAUUCCAUCUCCAAUAGUGUAUAUUGAAGUUGUUGCAAUUAAAAAGCUUGUAGUUGGACUUUGGGAUGGGCCGGCCGGUCCACCUAUGGUGUGCACCGGUCGUCUCAUCCCUUCUAUAAGAGUGCGCACCUGGCCUUAACUGGCCGGGUUAUGCCUCCGGCGUUGUUACUUUGAAGAAAUUAUAGUGCUCAAACCAAGCCUACACUCUGUAUACAUUAGCAUAGGAUAACUUUAUAGGAUUUCGGUCCUAUUAUGUUGUCCUUUGGGAUCAGAGUAAUGAUUAAUAGGGGUAGUAAGGGUUAUUCUAUUUCAUAGUCAGAGGUCAAAUUCUUGGAUUUAUGAAAGAUGAACAACUGCAAAAAAAACAUUUUCCAAGGAUGUUUUCAUUAAUCAAGAAUGAAAGUUGAGGUCUCGAAGAUAAUCUGAUACUGGGGGCUCGAAGAUGAUCAGAUACCAUCCUAGACUCAACCAUAAACGAUGCCGACCAGGGAUCGGCAGAUGUUGCUCUUUGGACUCCACCAACACCUUAUAAGAAAUCAAAGUUUUUGGGUUCCAUGGGGGUAUGGUCGCAAGGAAGAAAAUUAAAGGAAUUGACAGAAGGGCACCACCAGAAGCGGAGCCUGCGGCUUGAUUUGACUCAACACAGGAAAAGUUACCAGGUCCAGACAUAGUAAGGAUUGAUAGACUGAGAUCUCUUUCUUGAUUCUAUGUGUGGUGGUGCAUGGUCAUUCUUAGUUGGUAGAGCGAUUUGUCUGGUUAAUUAUGAUAAUGAACGAGAGCUUAGCCUGCUAACUACCUAACUGGAGGUAUCCUUUUUUGGCUAUCUUCUUAGAGGGAUUACAAUAGCCUUUUAGGCCGCGGAAGUUUGAGGCAAAAACAGGUCUGUGAUGACCUUUGAUGUUUUGGGCCGCACGCGCGCUACGCUGAUGUAUUCAACGAGUUUAUAGCCUUAGCCGAUAGUCCUGGAUAAUCGUUGAAAUUUCAUUAUGAUAAGGAUAGAUCAUUGCAAUUGUUGGUUUCAUUCAGGAAUUCCUAGUAAGCGUAACUCAUCAGCUCACGUUGACUAUGUCCCUGCCUUUUGUACAUACCGCCCGUCACUUCUAUCUAUUGAAUGAUUCUAUGAAAUGUUUGGAUCGCAGUGACAUGGGCAGUUCGCUUCCCGCAAUGUUAUGAGAAGUCUAUUAAACCUUAUCAUUUAGAGGAAGGAGAAGUUGUAACAACAUUCCCGUAGGUGAACCUAUGAAAA
rnacentral:rRNA from 1 species